CUUUUUUUUCAGCAGCUGGCAAAAAUCUGUAGUUAUGAUAGUAGGUUUCGGUUGUGCGCCUGGCGUUGUGGUGUUCUUUUAAAAUGUUAUUGGAUGGUAGAUGGUGGAAAACUACUGAAAUAAAAAUUAAAAUUUAUGAAAUUGAA